CCUACGGGAGGCAGCAGUGAGGAAUAUUGGUCAAUGGGAGGAAUCCUGAACCAGCCAUGCCGCGUGCAGGACGACGGCUCUACGAGUUGUAAACUGCUUUUGUACCGGGGUAAAAUGCUCUACGAGUAGGGUUUUGAAAGUACGGUACGAAUAAGGAUCGGCUAACUCCGUGCCAGCAGCCGCGGUAAUACGGAGGAUCCGAGCGUUAUCCGGAUUCAUUGGGUUUAAAGGGUGCGUAGGUUGUUUUAUAAGUUAGCGGUGAAAUACCGAUGCUCAACAUCGGGGCUGCCGCUGAUACUGUAGGACUAGAGAUCGGAUGCAGCAGGCGGAAUGUGUAGUGUAGCGGUGAAAUGCAUAGAUAUUACACAGAACACCGAUUGCGAAGGCAGCUUGCUAGGCCGGAUCUGACACUGAUGCACGAAAGCGUGGGGAUCGAACAGGAUUAGAUACCCCAGUAGUC
rnacentral:rRNA from 1 species